rnacentral:rRNA from 1 species
AGAUUGAACGCUGGCGGCAUGCCUUACACAUGCAAGUCGAACGGCAGCGCGGGAGCAAUCCUGGCGGCGAGUGGCGAACGGGUGAGUAAUACAUCGGAACGUGCCCAAUCGUGGGGGAUAACGCAGCGAAAGCUGUGCUAAUACCGCAUACGAUCU